UUUCAAAAAUCAGAUAAUAAGUUUGUUUAAUCAUAAAUCAGGUACCCAACUUUUCCAUUCAAAUUCCAAACCCUAAAAUUUUCAUUUUCACUCAUCUUCUCUCCUCACUCUCUCCACACAUCUGGCGCGCCGCCCAUUGCCGGAGACCACCGUGAACUCAAAGCUGCGAUAGUUAAUGGUGCAGCGGCGUCACCAUUGGAAGAGGAUCUCCGACGCAGCGGUGUUACCAUGGAUCGUCUGUACAGCUACAUCACCAUUGACCGUCGCGAGUAGCAACGCUGUGAGCAGUGUCCUGUCGUUCAUUUUACACACCUUGAUCCGAGCAUCCUUUCCAGCCUCACGCACUUCAGUGCUUAGUCAUGGUUUUGGGGUAGUUUUCCAUUGUUUAUCAUGGUUUUGGGGUGGUCUUCAGCUAUGAAUUUGAUUUUAUGGUGAUUGUGGAGUAAUUUUGGGAUGUGUUUUGUUGGUGGCGGUGGUGCUACUGUAGCGGUUAGGUUGCAGUGGUGGUGGUAUAGUAUUGUUGGUAUGUUGAAGGGGGAGCACGUGGCGACUGGUUGCCGACUUGGCUUGGUGCUGUGGCUGGUGGGUAGCGGUGGUGGUGUUGUUGGUAAUGGUUGUGAUGGUGUUGUGGCGGGGUGUGUGGUGUUUAUGACCAAGUAUUGUAGUGGAAUGCGAUCGGGAUAGGGUUUGGUGAUGCAGUGGUGUGGUGCAAGCUGCAAUUAGGUGGUGGUGAUUUGGGAUCAAGAUUGGUGUUGGUUCAGGACCGAUAGAGAAAGUGUUUGAAAUCUGAGACCAAUUAUUUGGAAUUUGUGACCAACUUUUUGGUGUCUGUGACCCAUUAUUUCGCUGAUUUGUAACAAAAUAUUAGGUGUUUUUGAACUAAAAAAUUAUUUGUGACCUAUGUGAUACGUAAAUAAAAUGUAACUUGUAAUUUGAAUGAUUUGUGACCUCUCGAAAUAA